rnacentral:rRNA from 1 species
CCUACGGGAGGCAGCAGUGAGGAAUAUUGGUCAAUGGCCGUAAGGCUGAACCAGCCAAGUCGCGUGAAGGAAGAAGGAUCUAUGGUUUGUAAACUUCUUUUAUAGGGGAAUAAAGGUAUCCACGUGUGGAUAUUUGCAUGUACCCGAUGAAUAAGCAUCGGCUAACUCCGUGCCAGCAGCCGCGGUAAUACGGAGGAUGCGAGCGUUAUCCGGAUUUAUUGGGUUUAAGGGGUGCGUAGGUUGUUAUUUAAGUCAGAGGUGAAAUCGUGGGGCUCAACCCUGCCGAGCCGUCGGAACUGGGGGACUUGAGUGCAGGGGAGGAAAGCGGAAUGCGCGGUGUAGCGGUGAAAUGCAUAGAUAUCGCGCAGAACCCCGAUUGCGAAGGCGGCGUGCCGUGUCGUCACUGACGCUGAGGCACGAAAGCGCGGGGAUCGAACAGGAUUAGAUACCCCGGUAGUC